GUCGCAGUAUUCAAAUAACUGCUGCGCAGUGUCUCUUUUUGAAAGAUGAAAGACAUCGCGCGAGAACACCGAGGAAGGUCACGUUAUCCGAAAUCUUAUUGAUCUUUGUUCUCACACUUUAGGUAUAUUACGAUAUCCUCCCGACCCGUGAACAGUCACAUGUUUCCUCCUUGCAGUGAUUGGUCUGUGAGUGAAGUAAUGAUCCAAUCCAAGGAUGGAAAAUCUUGUCAGUCAAAUCCACUAGGAAGUUUUUGUUGCAGUAUCGCGAACACAUCAGAUCUGAGUGAGUAAAGGUGUUUUUCCCAACCAGAUUCGCUACUUCAUGUAAAAUAAUCAAAAGAGCUGUAUUUCAUGCUACAUCUUGCAGAAGAGGAGGACAAGACUUCAGAUGCUGUGGAAAAACAAGAACUUCAUGAAGCGGUCUUCAACAAUAACCACCGUCUGCUUCUGGAACUGUUGUCACAGGAGCAGUACAGAAAGUUCAUCAACAGCAGGAGUGGCUGGGGUAUUCCUGGGACCCCACUGCGUGUGGCUGCCUCCCAUGGUUACCUGAGCUGUGUGGAACUUCUCCUAGCUCAUGGUGCUGAAGUAGACAGCUUAGAUGUGAAGGCCCAAACACCACUGUUCACUGCGGUUAGUGGGAAGCACUUGGCCUGUGUCCAAGCUUUACUAAGUGCAGGAGCAGACCCCAAUGGCAGCAUCUACAAUAACUGCUCCCCGGUACUCACAGCAUCUAGGGAAGGGGAUGUAGAUAUCCUGAGUGAGCUUUUGGAACAUGGAGCAGAAGUGAACACAAGGUCAAAAAGUAGACUGUGGCCUUCCCAUUCACCAGUAUGUAGUGGACCUUUGUAUCUCUCUGCGGUCUAUGGGCACCUGGACUGCUUUAAACUUUUGCUGAUAAAUGGAGCCAAUCCAGACUUUAACUGCACUGAGGAGAAACUUCUUGUUAAGAUCAGGCAACCCAAGACGAUCCUGGAGAUGUGCAUUAGACAUGGCUGUGAAGCCGAGUAUGUGCAGCUCCUGAUAGAUUUUGGAGCAAACGUCUAUCUCCCAACACUCAAUGUAGAGAAGACCACUAAGCAAAAAGAAGCUUUGGAGCUGCUUCUAAGAGAAAGAGUAUGUCCAAAACGCCUGAUGUCUUGGUGUCGUCUGACCAUUCGAAAUGCUUUAAGAUUGGCUGGCAGGCUGGCUUAUGUUGACUGUUUGCAUAUUCCAUCCUCCUUGAAACACUAUUUGAAGCACAAGAGCAGGCCGAUGGAAAAUACAUUUCCAUAAUUUUGAGGCUGUGUGGUCAUCAUCCAUAAAAUUCUGCUCUUAAAUUCGGGGUCAGUUCAAUGUACAUGUUUGGUUGCCGAGUCACUAGCACAAUAUGAAGUCCAAAAUUGGUAGGCAAUAAACAGGUUUAUUGAGCAGCUCCAGUUUUGUCUAUGGUCUGGUAGAGGAAAACAAUUAUGUAUGGAGCAGGGCUUCCUACUCUUGGUCCUGAUGGGGGAGUCUCAGCCAUUAGUUUUUUCAGUCAUUUAAUCAUACAAAUUCUGCACAAACUCAUUCCAUUAUAAGCUUGUAAGCCCAUCCCUACAACAUUGCAAGAAGAGCAGGAACCAAACCAGGAAGGGAAUGCUACUUUUCAGCAAACUCACUAGCAUUAUACUACUACUGGACCACAUCAGAGACAAAAGUCAACCUAAGGUGUUCCUCUGUGUGUUAUGGAGACAAGUUUAUAGUAAUAUAUAACAAAAAAAUGCAUUGCAGAAGAUGAACUGGCCAGUCCCUGGAGUCCUAAGCCAGAAAUGCUGACCACAGUGCCACAUCUUUUAGGUUUCAUGUGUACCCACUUCUGAAGGGUCAUUUCCUCCCUUUUAAAUGGAACAAAAUGUAUGUCAUAUGCCUCAUUGGUAAGAACGCUGUGUAGAAUUUAUUCAUACAAUCUUCAAGUACAAGUAUCCUGAGGGGGGAGAGCAGUGUUGCAUCCCUGUAUCUGAACCUGAGAGGAUGACCUGACUUCAGACGGGCCAGGGACACCCAGAGAAGCCAGCUAUAAAAGGAGCUCCUGUGCAUUGAGUGGAAGUUUUUAUGGAGCAUGCAUUUGAACAUGUCUUUAAAGGAAAGAUUGACCUCAAAUGUCACCAGAUUUCAGGAGCACAUGCAAUGCAUUCUUUAAGGGAUUAUGUUCAAUCUCCACAAUUUAAACUUUCAAGUUUUUGUAGUUUGGAAAAUUCUAUAUUAGGAAUUUACUUAGCUGAAUAUUCCUUUAAAAAAAAAAAAAGACUUUAUUUGAUGAAAGUGGGUGGAAUGCUAACAUAAUAAAAAAAGCACUUAGAGAAGUCAUGAAAGCUGCCAGGCAUUACUUCAUGGAUAAAAAAAAAAAAAAAAAAA